UUACACUUUGAUUCAAAACUAACAAAUACCGAAGGGCACUUGCCCAAGGCAAUUUUUUUCUUAUUUGUGCAUGGGAAUAAGGAAGUUCCACUUGGGAUCGUUUGAAGUGGAAAUACUUGGCCUCCAUAUGGCGUGGCAUUUAGUGCACCCCGUGAAGUGCUAACGGGCCACUUAACUCUAAUGGGCAUUCUCCUGGCGGAAACAAAACAACAACAAACCAUUAACAAGGCGGCAAAUGAUCUGACGAAGGGACGUGCACUCUAGAUGUAUAAUAUAGCGGCAUCUCCAGCGAAGCAACAGGCAAUCUGAAUAAACAACUUGGAUUUGGAGCACAGGUGUUUGGGAAAUGCCUUUCUUGUGGCUGCCGACGGGCCGCAGCAUAAAUCAUGUCUAUCUUCUGGCACCACGGGCUCCAAUCAUCUCCGCAGGGGAACGCGCCAUGUCUAGGAAUUCCGGCAGCUUGGCAGGUGAUUUGUUCGGAUUCCUAUCUCCACAUGGAAAAUCCACAUGCCGCAAAACAAGCCAAAUUGAGGUUGGAUUUGAAUAAAACUUUACUUUUUUUGGUAAAUAAUUUUGCCUUUUUGGUUAAGAGAUCUAUUGUUGUGGUUAAUAAGGCUAAAAAAAUGUAACUAAGAAAAUGUAAAUCAUAAAUAUAUAGUUAACUAUUAUAUUUUUACGUUAAAAAAAUAAA